GUGCUUGCUUUGGUAGUAUAUAUACUAAAAUUGGAAUAGUACAGAGGUUAACAUGGCCCCAGUGCAAGGAAGGUGUUCAAAUUCGUGAAGUGUUAUUUUUUUUC